CCGAGAAUAUUCCACAAUGGACGAAAGUCUGAUGGAGCGACGCCGCGUGAUGGAUGAAGUCUUUCGGGAUGUAAACAUCUUUUAUGAGGGAAGAAGUUAUUGACGGUACCUCAUGAAUAAGGGGUUGCUAAACUCGUGCCAGCAGCAGCGGUAAUACGAGUGCCCCGAGCGUUAUCCGGAAUUAUUGGGCGUAAAGGGUGUGUAGGCGGUUUUGUUAGUCCCUCGUCAAAUCUUUGGGCUCAACCCAAAGUUCGCGAGGGAUACGGCAUUACUCGAGGAUAUGAGAGGUGUGCGGAACUCAUGGUGUAGGGGUGAAAUCCGUUGAUAUCAUGGGGAACACCGAAUGCGAAGGCAGCACACUGGCGUAUUCCUGACGCUGAGACACGAAAGCGUAGGUAGC
rnacentral:rRNA from 1 species